GAUGAACGCUGGCGGCGUGCCUAAUACAUGCAAGUCGAGCGAACAGACGAGGAGCUUGCUCCUCUGACGUUAGCGGCGGACGGGUGAGUAACACGUGGAUAACCUACCUAUAAGACUGGGAUAACUUCGGGAAACCGGAGCUAAUACCGGAUAAUAUAUUGAACCGCAUGGUUCAAUAGUGAAAGACGGUUUUGCUGUCACUUAUAGAUGGAUCCGCGCCGCAUUAGCUAGUUGGUAAGGUAAUGGAUUACCAAGGCAACGAUGCGUACCCGACCUGAAAGGGUGAUCGGCCACACUGGAACUGAGACACGGUCCAGACUCCUACGGGAGGCAGCAGUAGGGAAUCUUCCGCAAUGGGCGAAAGCCUGACGGAGCAACGCCGCGUGAGUGAUGAAGGUCUUCGGAUCGUAAAACUCUGUUAUUAGGGAAGAACAAAUGUGUAAGUAACUAUGCACGUCUUGACGGUACCUAAUCAGAAAGCCACGGCUAACUACGUG
rnacentral:rRNA from 1 species